AGGACGAACGCUGGCGGCGUGCUUAACACAUGCAAGUCGAACGGUAAGGCCCCUUCGGGGGUACACGAGUGGCGAACGGGUGAGUAACACGUGGGUAAUCUGCCCUGCACUUCGGGAUAAGCCUGGGAAACUGGGUCUAAUACCGGAUAUGAACUCCUGCCGCAUGGUGGGGGUUGGAAAGUUUUUCGGUGCAGGAUGAGCCCGCGGCCUAUCAGCUUGUUGGUGGGGUAAUGGCCUACCAAGGCGACGACGGGUA
rnacentral:rRNA from 1 species